rnacentral:rRNA from 1 species
AUGUUCAGAUUAGCCAUGCAUGUCUCAGUAUAAGCUUCUAUACGGCGAAACUGCGAAUGGCUCAUUAAAACAGUUAUAGUUUAUUUGGUGGUCAACAAUUACAUGGAUAACCGUGGUAAUUCUAGAGCUAAUACAUGCGCCCAAACCCAACUUUUUGGAAGGGUUGUGUUUAUUAGAUACAGAACCAACCCAGGCUCCGCCUGGCCUUGAGGUGAUUCAUAAUAACCGAACGAAUCGCAUGGCUAUGCCGGCGAUAGACCAUUCAAGUUUCUGACCUAUCAGCUAUCGUCGGUAGGGUAUUGGCCUACCGUGGCAAUGACGGGUAACGGAGAAUUAGGGUUCGAUUCCGGAGAGGGAGCCUGAGAAACGGCUACCACAUCUAAGGAAGGCAGCAGGCGCGCAAAUUACCCAAUCCUGACAUAGGGAGGUAGUGACAAGAAAUACCAAUACGGGGCAUCCAUGUCUCGUAAUUGGAAUGAGUAAACUUUAAAUCACUUUAC